GACGAACGCUGGCGGCGUGCUUAACACAUGCAAGUCGAACGGAAAGGCCCUGCUUUUGUGGGGUGCUCGAGUGGCGAACGGGUGAGUAACACGUGGGUAACCUGCCCUUGACUUUGGGAUAACUUCAGGAAACUGGGGCUAAUACCGGAUAGGAGCUCCUGCUGCAUGGUGGGGGUUGGAAAGUUUCGGCGGUUGGGGAUGGACUCGCGGCUUAUCAGCUUGUUGGUGGGGUAGUGGCUUACCAAGGCUUUGACGGGUAGCCGGCCUGAGAGGGUGACCGGCCACAUUGGGACUGAGAUACGGCCCAGACUCCUACGGGAGGCAGCAGUGGGGAAUAUUGCACAAUGGGCGGAAGCCUGAUGCAGCAACGCCGCGUGCGGGAUGACGGCCUUCGGGUUGUAAACCGCUUUCGCCUGUGACGAAGCGUGAGUGACGGUAAUGGGUAAAGAAGCACCGGCUAACCACGUG
rnacentral:rRNA from 1 species